rnacentral:tRNA from 1 species
GGGCUCGUAGCUUAGCGGUAGAGUGCUUGCAUGGCAUGCAAGAGGUCGGGAGUUCGAUCCUCCCCGAGUCCA